rnacentral:rRNA from 1 species
AGUGAACGCUGGCGGUAGGCCUAACACAUGCAAGUCGAACGGCAGCACAGUAAGAGCUUGCUCUUACGGGUGGCGAGUGGCGGACGGGUGAGGAAUACAUCGGAAUCUACUUUUUCGUGGGGGAUAACGUAGGGAAACUUACGCUAAUACCGCAUACGACCUACGGGUGAAAGCAGGGGUCUUCGGGCCUUGCGCGGUUGAAUGAGCCGAUGUCGGAUUAGCUAGUUGGGGGGGUAAAGGCCCACCAAGGCGACGAUCCGUAGCUGGUCUGAGGGGAUGAUCAGCCACACUGGAACUGAGACACGGUCCAGACUCCUACGGGAGGCAGCAGUGGGGAAUAUUGGACAAUGGGCGCAAGCCUGAUCCAGCCAUACCGCGUGGGUGAAGAAGGCCUUCGGGUUGUAAAGCCCUUUUGUUGGGAAAGAAAAGCAGCAGGUUAAUACCCCGCUGUUCUGACGGUACCCAAAGAAUAAGCACCGGCUAACUUCGUG